GGAAGAAUGGCUCAAGUGGUAGAGUGCCUGCUCAGCAAGCACAAGGCCCUGAGUUCGAGCCUCAGUACUGCCC
rnacentral:tRNA from 1 species